CCGUGCUGCUCCCGUGCAAGUGAAACUCUCCUAGACGCGCAUCUCGUCUGUGAUUUGCCGGAACAGUUUGCUAUGUUUUCAUGGGCUAGGUUGUUUUUGAUUGCCGUUCAUGGAGCCU